rnacentral:lncRNA from 1 species
CUGUUUCACUGGGAAACAGAAGCAAUCAGAAGGAAACUUCCUCAGACUCCACCUCUCCCUUCACUCCCGCCUGUAUCCGUGCCUGUUACCUGGACGCCUUGUGGAACUUGAAUUCUACGCCCUCCACUGGGACACUGCCCUUCAUCCUCUCUCACCUCCUCCAGGACAACAAAUGUUGUAGUCCUCAUCAUCAGCAGAGACUUUGUGCCAUCCUCUGCUAUAUUAUCCUGAAGAGUGCCUGGCUCAUGAUGAGGAAGCUGAGGCUCAGAGAGGUGCUGCCACUGGGAUGCGGACUCCAGGAAGCCUGACCCCGUCCUGCCUUUUAAUCACGGCAUCAUACUGCUCUUGUGGUUUGGGAUGAUUAGAACCUGAGAGAGUUGGAGAGGGGAAGGAGCGGGUUGAGUCUGAGCCUAAGAAAUGGGCUGGGACCAAAUCCCGGGGGGCUGCUGGUGUUAGACUUGGGGGUGUUGACAUCAUUGCAGAUGAGUGGGUAGCACAUUCUUAGGGAGAGGGUGGUGGGAUCACGUGUGCUUUUCUGAGAAGUCACUCUGGGAUGGGGCAGAGAAGAAGUAAAAAAAAAAAAAAAAAACAGAAAAAAAAACAGAGGAGAGACAGUGAGGCAGGGCAUGGGUGAGUACAAGGCCAGGGCAGCAGGGCUCUGGGAAGGGUGAACACCAGGCAGACAGUUCCAAGGUAGAUCUAACAGGUGACUAGGUGGUGGGAGGUGAGGGGUGAACAAUCAAAUGUGGGUAAAGGGUCACGUUGGUUUUAUUCAUUCACUCAGCAAACUUUUUUUUUUUUU